rnacentral:lncRNA from 10 species
CUCAUGCACUGUGUGAAAUGGCACCACAUGGGUGUUACCAAGGUUUUCUGCCUGUACUGUCCUGAGGGGCAACCACCACUGCACCUAGGCCAGCUGGAGCUGGAGCUGAGAUAGUGAAGAAGUGCUUGGUGGAAAUCAGGAAGCAGAACUUUAAAAAAGCACUGGACAGUGAGUCCAAGGUUCCAUGGGCCCCUCCUUUGAAACUGUUCUGCCCCCAAGGCUCUUGCACAUUCGUCCUUUGAUGGGACUGGUGGCCUCAAAGAUCUCUGAAAUGUCUUUGGGGUCAUUCUUCCAGUGUCCUGAUGACUAGCACUUGGACAAUCUACACUAAUUUCCUUAUCAAACAGUUGUUUGCCCACACCUAUGGGUUACUAGCUGGGUUAUUCAUCCACUGGCUCUUGUUUAACUUUGGCCAAGGGCUGUUCCUAGGAGGUUAAUUCCUGACACUUCUGAACUGUUCUGUGCAUGAGCCACAUGCACUCCUGUAAUCCAGUAAAGCUCUUGAGCUGAGAGUUGCAGGUCCUUUCAUAGGAAGCCAGAGUCAUGUAGAAGAUGGGGAUGGCAGUGGGAGAUGGGCGGGACGAUACCAGCACCUGCUUGACACUCCCCUGCCUAAGAUCCUUCCGUAGGUUUUCCACCAACUUAAGAUUUAGCUAAGCUCCUUCUCUUUGCUUACAAAUUCUGUCUCCUGUCUAACCUUGUAAGAUUAUCUUCUACCCGACUCCCAGACAGCGAUACCCACUGACAAUGUCACACUCUGUCACACCUUCACUCAUCUGUCUAGGUGGUUGCUUCCACCUGGGUUACCCUCGUUAGGCCUAAUGAACACAUUUUCUCCUUCAAGACUCCGUUCAUGAGCUCUCUCUUCUCUGACGCAUUUCCAGCAGUUAGUCUCCUCUAUUCCCUGUGCCUGCAUGUUAACAUGUACUGCAUUGUAACAAUGGUCUUUCAUAUUUUUGAAAUAUAUAUAUGUAUUUGAAAUAUAUAUGGUUAUAUAUAUUACAUAUAAUUACUUAUAUAGAACAAAAAUGAACAAAAAAAUGCACUGAAACUCUACCUCAGAGAGAUAAAUAUCUUUAAUAAUUUGGCAAACAUGCUACCAGACAAUUAUGUAUUUCUUCACAAACACAUGCUCACAUACACAAUCACAUAAAUUUAUUCAAAUAUGAUUUUCUACUAUUUUUGUAAUUUACUUUUAUUUUUUACUCAACAGUAUGUCACCCUCAUCUUUUGAAGACAGUAAAUGUAGAUCCACACCUUCAUGUGUAAUGGUUGGAUGUAUUUGUUAAUAUAUGCUGUAGUUUGUUUAUCCAAGUCUCUAUUUAUGAGUCGCGUAAGCUAUUGUCUGUUGUCAAAAGUCCCGUAAUAGGUGGACCUAGCAGGGAAAUUGCUUAGUUACCUGUAUGUCUCCCCCUGUUGGCAGCUCCAGGAUGGUGUCUUUGACUGCUCACACCCGCUUUCUUCUAAGGAAAGAUCUUUCACUUUGGCUUAGCAGUUUCUGUGUCUUUUAAAAAUCCUUUUCUAUAAGGCAGAAGUAUCCAUUAAAUCAUAUACUUCAUCACCUAUUACCUAAUUAAAUCAAGGAAAGCCUCACAACACCUUAGAACAAUGGGUUUUAAACACAUUUGAUCAUGACUCGCUUUAAGAAACAUAUUUUUAUCAUGAAUCAGUAUGUGCUUUUACACAAAUAAAAGUUUACAAAAUGAUGCUCUUACAGCACACAAUGUAUUCUGAUAUUUUCCAUUCUAUCUCAUUUUAAAUAUAUAUUUUUAGUGAAUAUGGUAUUGUAUUUAUUUAUUUAAAUGUGGAUAUAACUUUCUAAAUUGACUUCAUGAGUCACUAUCGGGUUGCAACCACAGUGUGUAAGACACUCAUGUAGGAUGCCAGGUGGAAGACUGCUGAGGCUUGUUAUUACUGCUGCCAUUUUUUUUUUUUUGGCCUUACAGAUUCACUAUAAGCAUACAACCCUGAAAUAAUAUUUUCUUCUCCUAGCUGCCCAAGGUUUUAUAUUUUAAACACCAAUCUCACUAUCACCACUACCACUAGGUAACCACAUACACAUCUAUUCUCGUUGACAGAAAUGGCUUCCAGCAAUGAACUUUUGAGGGAUUAUACUCAUGUGCCAAAUAAAAUUAUGACAUUGUAUGUGUGAGUAUGUACACAUACACACAGAGGUGGUCCAGGUGAGGCAGAAACUGAAACAUAGGAAAUAGAGUCCCUAUUCAUAAAGUGAGUGCAGUCUAAUGAAAAAGGGAUAAUACAGUUUCAGAUAGAUUGAAACUCCUAACACGGUUCUGGGUCUGUGAUUUGUGAUGAUGUCAGAGGCCUCAAGUCAGGAUCCAAGCAUUCUAAGAAGGCAAAGCUACCCUCUAUCCAGCACAAAGGACAAACUGUCCAGGUCCAGUUUUCUUCAUUAUUGGGAAUUCACCUCACCUCCCAUCCACACUUCCAGCAUAAGAAAGCAAAUCUUCUAUCAAUUCCCCUUCAUGAGGACCAAGGGGUCUCCGUGGGAUACCUCCUUUCCCCUACCAACUACGUGAACCUCUGACAGGACUCUGCCCACUUAAAUCAUGAGCCACUCCCCUGCUUUCCUUUGUUACCCGAACCUACCUAUCAGAAAUUACUUUCCAGAAAAGACAUUUGGAAGAAUUAUAAGAGUGACAAUCACAUUUUCUUUUUGGCCCUUUUAGCUUUAUUUUCGAAUGACAGCCCUGAGAAGUAGGGGUUACAGGUGAAUUUAUCAUUUUUGUUGAUGUUACUCUAUUAGAUAACAGCACCAACCAACCAUCUGAUAUCUCACAUAUCCCUUUUUUAUCCUAGCCACCUAUAAGUCCU